UACAGAGGUCUCAAGCGUUGUUCGGAUUCAUUGGGCGUAAAGGGUGCGUAGGCGGCGCGGUAAGUCGGGUGUGAAAUCUCGGAGCUUAACUCCGAAACUGCAUUCGAUACUGCCGUGCUUGAGGACGGGAGAGGAGACUGGAAUUUACGGUGUAGCAGUGAAAUGCGUAGAGAUCGGAAGGAAGACCAGUGGCGAAGGCGGGUCUCUGGACAGUUACUGACACUGAGGCACGAAGGCCAGGGGAGCAAACGGG
rnacentral:rRNA from 1 species